GGAAACUUGGAAACUGCCGUUGGAUCGAAAAAUGGAUGUCCGAGAUUCAUCUACAUCAUUGUGAGUAAAAAUUUUACUCACGAGUCGUGAACGAAUCUCAGACGUCCAUUUUUCAAUCCAACAGUAGUUUCCAAGUUUCC
rnacentral:pre_miRNA from 1 species